rnacentral:rRNA from 1 species
GACGAACGCUGGCGGCGUGCUUAACACAUGCAAGUCGAACGGUAAGGCCCUUCGGGGUACACGAGUGGCGAACGGGUGAGUAACACGUGGGUGAUCUGCCCUGCACUUCGGGAUAAGCCUGGGAAACUGGGUCUAAUACCGGAUAGGACCACUGCCUGCAUGGGUGGUGGUGGAAAGCUUUUGCGGUGUGGGGUGGGCCCGCGGCCUAUCAGCUUGUUGGUGGGGUGAUGGCCUACCAAGGCGACGACGGGUAGCCGGCCUGAGAGGGUGACCGGCCACAGUGGGACUGGGUUACGGCCCAGACUCGUAGGGGGGGCAGCAGUGGGGAAGAUUAGACAUGGGCGCAAGCCUGAUGCAGCGACGCCGCGUGAGGGAUGACGGCCUUCGGGUUGUAAACCUCUUUCAGCGCCGACGAAGCGGAAGUGACGGUAGGUGCAGAAGAAGGACCGGCAAACUACGUGCCAGCCGCCGCCGUAA